CGACAUCAUGUGCAUGGGGAGGUGGAUGCUUGUUCGUUCUAUUUUACCGAUGUACUUGAACAAAUUUCGUAUGUUGAAUUGAGGAAAGGAUUUGAGGUAUGCAACAUGUUUGAUGUUUAUUUAUCCACACAAAAAAUGAUUGAGGUCUGGUAUUUUAAUUUGUACAUUAUAGCAAUGUUCGAGAUGAAAGCAAACUUGUGCAUGCAAUAAAUAAUGUGUUGUUUAAUCAAUACAAAGUUUGGGCAAAUGUUGCAUGUUUUGAUCGAUUUGGAGAUUCAAAAGGGAUUGUAAAUGAGGGAGAAGGAAGGAAAUAGUAUAGGAAAUAAGGGAGAAAAAAUAAUAAUUUGAAGGGAGUCCCAGGAAGAUGUAUGUGUGGUGGUGGUUGAGAGGAAGGAAGUUGAGGGCGUGGUGACGGAGAAGGAAGGGGUGAGGGUAGACGAGGGUGGGAGAGAUUUAGUGAGAAAGGCUGAAAUAGCUUUGUGUAAAAUGAUGUUGUUUGGAGGGAC
rnacentral:lncRNA from 1 species